rnacentral:lncRNA from 1 species
GUGUGUGGUAAACAGGUGUGUUGUGUGUGUUUUUGGAGCAGCAGACUGAUGUCUCGGUGGUGUAUGCCACUCUCCACAUGGUGCCGGAUGGGCUGCUCUCCUCCUCGGUGUGGUCGGAGGCUGCCUCCGUGUCUACGCCCACCAAUCAGCAGUUCACUGAGCCAGAGCCUGAAUGCCACAACUGCUAUGAGGGCUGGGAGGAGGACCUGCUGCCUGAGGAGAGGGAGGUUCCUUUAAAUGUCUGUGUAGUCUGGGCUUGCCAGAUGCUGAAGGAUAGUGGUCACCAUGCUGUUAUCCCCAUUGACCCUAAUGGUUGACAUGCUCCAUUCCCUCCCUCCCACAGCCUCUACCUUACCACCAAGAGAGUGGAGGACAUCGCCUUGAGGCUCGUCUCCCUGCGCCAGGCCUUCACUGUGAGUGGACUUCCUUUUUCCUUUUCUCUCUGUGUCUUCUUGUUCUGUCUGUCUCCAAGAGGAAGAUGGGUGUCUCACUAACUCUUCCCUCUUCUCUAGACCCUGCUUGGUUCCACCCUGAGCAGGAACCAUCUGUUUGUGGCAGGAAAGGUCCUAUUGGGCGCACUGGUUCAAGCCCACCACAUGGUAGCUCACUAACUCAUUAUUCAUUCAAGGGAAAGAGAGCGUCCUCGAUGGGAAAUGUGUUCUGUUCACUAACGUCAAUGCUCUUUGCUUUGUGAUAGGACGAGGCCGAAUUCAUCCGUGCCUAUAACGACUUUGUGGACUACCUGAGUGACCCCUCCAAGCAGAUUGACAUUGAGAGGGAGCUGGCUGAGGCAAAGGUGAGUUCAUUAACUCUUUCAAGUCUCACUUUGAGUUCUUCCACAUGCAUGUCUUUUAUACAUCACAGUAGCUGAUCUAUUUGAAAUCAUUCCUAUUUUCUCCAAAUGUGUUUUCUUGUCCUAGAUCCAUCAUGUUAACCUGAUAGAUGUCCUUUUUGAACUGGUGCUAUUUGGGCUGAUGACAGCUCAGAAGUCCCUGAUGGUGGUAAGUAGCAUCUCACUGGUACAUGUUUCGAUGUCUCUCUAUUUGUAAUUUCACUUAAACUUCUCUCCUCUGUUUCCAUUAGCACCCUGGUGGGUUCAUGGAGCGUCUGUACGCUCUCCUGUACUCCUUCCUGCCCGUAGCUGCCAGCAUUGAGCCAAAGGCCGAGAGAUGCCUGCUGCUGCUCAAUGUAAGAUUCAAGAGUUUACUUCCCUAUUCCUAGUUUACUUCCUCUUUACUUUUUCAUGAAUAACAGGGUUUCAAUGCCAUUUUACAAGGAGUAACUCUCAUUGUCUCUCUGCUCUUGAUAAGCUAGUAACUCAGAGCCAUUAUCAAUGUGUUGUGUGGUGUUCUCUUCAGGGCGGGCUGAUGGCUCUGCUUGAUGACAUGUUUGGGCAGCAGCUGGCCUGGUACUUUAACCCAGUGUCUCUGGUCACUGAGCUCUCCAACCUCCUGGAGUACCACCUGGAGAACCUCAUGGCCAGCAUGUAGUCCUACUGCAGAGAUCUGAAAGGCCACAUUUCUCUCUCUUUCUCUUUCUCUCAGGAAUUGAGGACUUGAAGUGCUUCACUGAACCCUGAUUAGUUAACACCCAUUGAAUUAAUGUAUUCUCUUGUUUUCUCUCCCCACAGGAUUCUUGCGACACUUUGCCACCACACAGGGGUCUAGACACAAAUGCACUACAUUACUUUGCACUGAAUUUUAC